GGCACAAACUGGAGGUAGAGUAGAUUAUUAUGGUCAGCUGACCCUACUAAUCUACUCAACUUCAAAUUUGAGCUC
rfam:Haemonchus placei strain MHpl1 genome assembly, scaffold: HPLM_scaffold0002530